UCAGAGAAGGAGAGCUCAACCUUCAUUUGUCUUCUUCACUCUUCACACUAUAAAAAGCACCAAACUUUGAUUUGAGUAGAUAUGAAAAAGAAAGGUUUGGCAAUUCUAAUGCGAACCAGAAUGAAACCCACCAACAACGAUUCAGCUCACCUCGCUCGCUCUCCUCUCGCCAACAUGGUUAAUCAAACGGUGAAUGGAGGCCAAUCAAGUAGUGAACCCAAAAGCUCAAUGCUUUAAGCAACACCAAGAGGGAUUUUGAGGUUGUAAUAAGUGAGUCCAUGCACUCUGCAAUUUCAAUGAGUAAAACUGAAGUCUUGGAUUCUGUGCUGAGUGAUUUCUCAGAGGGAUAUUUCAGCCUUUCGUAUGAGAAUCGUCGAAAAUUGCUUGUGCAACUUGCCAAAGAGUAUGAUGUUAAUAGGACACAAGUUCGCGAUUUGAUAAAGCAGUACUUGGGACUUGAGCCUCCUGGAACUG